UUCAAUAGUCUACAGAACUAACCAUUGCUGGCAGCUAGUUCUCUGCAAGUCUCACAUGCACUGAAGCUAAAGGGCUGUGCCCGGUCAGUACCUGGAUGGGAGACCACAUGGGAAAGCUAGGUUGCUGUUGAAA
rnacentral:rRNA from 1 species